GGGUCUGAGGGAAAUCUGGCUUAAGCUUCUGUCACUCCAUUGAUGGUCAGGCUGGGUUCUGCUGAUCUGGCUGGAUAGACACAGGUCCUUCUUUCUCACCACUCCAUUCAUGUCCAUCUCAAAGCUGCACUCUUGGUUGAAGAGGAUGACUAUCCCUGACAUUAAACAACCUUCCUUUGGUCACAGAUAUAUAAGUAGCUGUAGGCUCCUGCUAGAACCUCCAAACAAACUCCCAAGGUUAACUUAUAGCCAUGCCGAGCUAUCAGAAUAGUGUGUCAGCUCUGCUUCAUAGGGUUUCCUGUAUGA
rnacentral:snRNA from 1 species